rnacentral:tRNA from 2 species
GCCCAGGUGGCGAAAUUGGUAGACGCAGGGGACUCAAAAUCCCCCGCCGAAAGGCGUGUCGGUUCGAGUCCGACCCUGGGCACCA